CACUUUCGGAAGAUGAAGUAAUAUCACUAUAAUGAUCGGUG
rnacentral:antisense_RNA from 1 species